UACAGAGGGUGCGAGCGUUGUCCGGAAUCAUUGGGCGUAAAGCGCACGUAGGCGGCUUGUUAAGUCAGGGGUGAAAUCCUGGAGCUCAACUCCAGAACUGCCUUUGAUACUGGCGAGCUUGAGUUCGGGAGAGGUGAGUGGAACUGCGAGUGUAGAGGUGAAAUUCGUAGAUAUUCGCAAGAACACCAGUGGCGAAGGCGGCUCACUGGCCCGAUACUGACGCUGAGGUGCGAAAGCGUGGGGAGCAAACAGG
rnacentral:rRNA from 1 species